GAUGAACGCUGGCGGCGCGCCUAACACAUGCAAGUCGAACGAUUAAAGCACCUUCGGGUGUGUAUAAGGUGGCGAACGGCUGAGUCACACGUAACCAACCUGCCCCUCUCAUUGGGCUAGCCACGGGAAAGCCUGAUUAAUACCGAACACUUCGUCCCUCCCGCGUGGUGGUCGCGAGAAAGCCCCGGCGGGGAGGGAUGGGCCCGCGGCCUGUUAGCUUGUUGGUGGGGUAACGGCCUACCAAGGCAAUGAUGGGUAGCCGGGUUGAGAGACCGACCAGCCAGAUUGGGACUGAGACACGGCCCAGACUCCUACGGGAGGCAGCAGUGGGGAACCUUGCACAAUGGGCGGAAGCCUGAUGCAGCGACGCCGCGUGCGGGAUGAAGGCCUUCGGGUUGUAAACCGCUUUCAGCAGGGACGAGGCGAAAGUGACGGUACCUGCAGAAGAAGCCCCGGCUAACUACGUG
rnacentral:rRNA from 1 species